UACGUAGGGGGCAAGCGUUGUCCGGAAUCAUUGGGCGUAAAGCGCGCGUAGGCGGCCAGAUUAGUCCGGUGUGAAAGUCAGAGGCUCAACCUUUGAAUGCCGCUGGAAACUGUCUGGCUUGAGUCCGGAAGGGGCGAGUGGAAUUCCUGGUGUAGCGGUGAAAUGCGCAGAUAUCAGGAGGAACACCGGUGGCGAAGGCGGCAUCCUGGACCGGCAUUGACGCUGAGGCGCGAAAGCCAGGGGAGCAAACGGG
rnacentral:rRNA from 1 species